rnacentral:rRNA from 1 species
UACGGAGGGGGCUAGCGUUGUUCGGAAUUACUGGGCGUAAAGCGCACGUAGGCGGCUUUGUAAGUUAGAGGUGAAAGCCCGGGGCUCAACUCCGGAAUUGCCUUUAAGACUGCAUCGCUCGAAUUGUGUAGAGGUAAGUGGAAUUCCGAGUGUAGAGGUGAAAUUCGUAGAUAUUCGGAAGAACACCAGUGGCGAAGGCGACUUACUGGACACAUAUUGACGCUGAGGUGCGAAAGCGUGGGGAGCAAACAGG